rnacentral:piRNA from 1 species
UGAAGUGCGAGGCAUGUAUUUUCCCC